rnacentral:lncRNA from 1 species
AGAGAAUAACUAUGUGAGUCAGAAUCUGCUCGAGGCUGUCAGCCCAGAAUGCUGUCAACUCCCUGAGGCUCUCGACUUGGAAGGCUGUAGACCCCUGGAUAGUCCCACUUUGCUGUUCUAUCUGUGUAUCUGCUUCUUAAUGCCUUCAGUGCCGCCUGAGUGGGAGUCUCUACAGCCGAGCUGGUCUCCGUAAAGAGAAAUAGAAAAGAAAUCCUAAUAUUUGUAUGGAUCUGAAAAAGAGGAAACAAAAUGCUAAAAUUUAUAUGGAACCAAAAAAUACACUGGAUUGCAAAAGAUGUCUUAAGCCAAAGGAACUAAGCUGGAGGUAUGAACGACAUACAAUGAGAA